rnacentral:rRNA from 1 species
CCUACGGGUGGCAGCAGUGAGGAAUAUUGGUCAAUGGACGAGAGUCUGAACCAGCCAAGUAGCGUGAAGGAUGACUGCCCUAUGGGUUGUAAACUUCUUUUGUCAAGGGACAAAAUCAGGCUCGAGAGCCUGACCGAGGGUACUUGAAGAAAAAGCAUCGGCUAACUCCGUGCCAGCAGCCGCGGUAAUACGGAGGAUGCGAGCAUUAUCCGGAUUUAUUGGGUUUAAAGGGUGGGUAGGCGGACUGUUAAGUCAGCGGUAAAAGCCCGGGGCUCAACCCCGGCGAGCCGUUGAAACUGGCUGUCUUGAGAUGUCGAGAGGUAUGCGGAAUGCGCAGUGUAGCGGUGAAAUGCUUAGAUAUUGCGCAGAACUCCGAUUGCGAAGGCAGCAUACCGGCGGCGAUCUGACGCUGAGGCACGAAAGCGUGGGUAUCGAACAGGAUUAGAUACCCCUGUAGUC